rnacentral:lncRNA from 1 species
UUUGAAAUACUUGCACACAAACCGCGAGAAAGCGUUCCUGGAAAUCUCAGCCCAAAAAAGGAUGUUUAGUAAUUCUAAAAGGGACUACAGGAUGAAAAACAAUAGUUUUGGCAGUUAAAGUUUGAGAUUUGACGGUGUCGUAGAUCCGUUUGGUCAUCAGGUGUUACGAGCCACACCCAUGUCUAGCUAGAAUAGUGUGUUAGGCUCAGGCUAGAGAAGAAACGGGGAACAAACUGAUGAAAGAAUGAUCAAACCGAGGGGAUUCACUCAGAACUAACAAGAAUGAUAACGUGCUCCGACUAGAGCGGUUUAGGAACUUCUGGAAGGCUCUAGGGGAAUAAAGAUGGAAUGACUUCUAAUUUUUAGGUCCGUAUGAUUUGAAAUACUUUCACACAAACCGCGCGAAAGCGUUCCUGGAAAUCUCAGCCCCAAAAAGGACGUUUAGUAAUUCUAGAAGGGACUAUAGGAUGAAAAACAAUAGUUUUGGUAGUUAAAGUUUGAGAUUCGAUGGUGCCGUGGAUCCGUUUGGUCAUCAGGUGUUACGAGCCACACCCAUGUCUAGCUAGAAUAGUAUGUUAGGCUCAGGUUAGAGAAGAAACGGGGAACAAACUGAUGAAAAAAUGAUCAUACCAAGGGAAUUCACUCAGAACUAACAAGAAUGAUAACGUGCUCCGACUGGAGCGGUUUAGGAACUGCUGGAAGGCUCUAGGGGAAUAAAGAUGGAAUGACUUCUAAUUUUUACGUCCGUAUGAUUUGAAAUACUUGCACACAAACCACGCAAAAGCGUUCCUGGAAAUCUCAGCCUAAAAAAGGACGUUUAGUAAUUCUAAAAGGGACUACAGGAUGAAAAAUAAUAGUUUGGGCAGUUAAAAUUUGAGAUUCAACGGUGCCGUAGAUCCGUUUGGUCAUGAGGUGUUACGAGCCACACCCAUGUCUAGCUAGAAUAGUGUGUUAGGCUCAGGCUAGAGAAGAAACGGGGAACAAAUUGAUGAAAGAAUGAUCAUACCGAGGGAAUUCACUCAGAACUAACAAGAAUGAUAACGUGCUCCGACUGGAGCAGUUUGGAAACUGUUGGUAGGCUCUAGGGGAAUAAAGAUGGAAUCACUUCAAAUUUUUAGGUCCGUAUGAUUUGAAAUACUGGCACACAAACCGCGCGAAAGUGUUCCUGGAAAUCUCAGCCCAAAAAAGGACGUUUAGUAAUUCUAAAAGGGACUACAGGAUGAAAAACAAUACUUUUGGCAGUUAAAGUUUGAGAUUCGACGGUGCCGUAGAUCUGUUUGGUCAUCAGGUGUAACGAGCCACACCCAUGUCUAGCUAGAGUAGUGUGCUAGGCUCAGACUAGAGAAGAAACGGGGAACAAAGUGAUGAAAGAAUGAUCAUACCGAGGGAAUUCACUCAGAACUAACAAGAAUGAUAACGUGCUCCGACUGGAGCGGUUUAGGAACUGCUGGAAGGCUCUAGGGAAAUAAAGAUGGAAUGACUUCUAAUUUUUAGGUCCAUAUCAUUUGAAAUACGUGCACACAAACCCCGAGAAAGCGUUCCUGGAAAUCUCGGCCGAAAAAAGGAUGUUUAAUAAUUCUAAAAGGGACUACAGGAUGAAAAACAAUAGUUUUGGCAGUUAAAGUUUGAGAUUUGACGGUGCCGUAGAUCUGUUUGGUCAUCAGGGGUUACGAGCCACACCCAUGUCUAGCUAGAAUAGUGUGUUAGGCUCAGGCUAGAGAAGAAACGGGGAACAAAUUGAUGAAAGAAUGAUCAUACCGAGGGAAUUCACUCAGAACUAACAAGAAUGAUAACGUGCUCCGACUGGAGCAGUUUGGAAACUGUUGGUAGGCUCUAGGGGAAUAAAGAUGGAAUCACUUCUAAUUUUUAGGUCCGUAUGAUUUGAAAUACAUGCACACAAACCCCAAGAAAGCGUUCCUGGAAAUCUCGCCCCGAAAAACGACGUUUAGUAAUUCUAAAAGGGACUACAGGAUGAAAAACAAUACUUUUGGCAGUUAAAGUUUGAGAUUCGACGGUGCCGUAGAUCUGUUUGGUCAUCAGGUGUAACGAGCCACACCCAUGUCUAGCUAGAGUAGUGUGCUAGGCUCAGACUAGAGAAGAAACGGGGAACAAAGUGAUGAAAGAAUGAUCAUACCGAGGGAAUUCACUCAGAACUAACAAGAAUGAUAACAUGCUCCGACUGGAGCGGUUUAGGAAGUGCUGGAAGGCUCUAGGGAAAUAAAGAUGGAAUGACUUCUAAUUUUUAGGUCCAUAUCAUUUGAAAUACGUGCACACAAACCCCGAGAAAGCGUUCCUGGAAAUCUCGGCCGAAAAAAGGAUGUUUAAUAAUUCUAAAAGGGACUACAGGAUGAAAAACAAUAGUUUUGGCAGUUAAAGUUUGUGAUUCGAUGGUGCCGUAGAUCUGUUUGGUCAUCAGGUGUUACGAGCCACACCCAUGUCUAGCUAGAACAGUGUGUUAGGCUCAGGCUAGAGCAGAAACGGGGAACAAACUUAUGAAAGAAUGAUCAUACCGAGGGAAUUCACUCAGAACUAACAAGAAUGAUAACGUGCUCCAACUGGAGCGGUUUAGGAACUGCUGGAAGGCUCUAGGGGAAUAAAGAUGGAAUGACUUCAAAUUUUUAGGUCCGUAUGAUUUGAAAUACUUGCACACAAACCGCUAGAAAGCGUUCCUGGAAAUCUCAGCCCAAAAAAGGACGUUUAGUAAUUCUAAAAGGGACUACAGGAUGAAAAACAAUAGUUCUGGCAGUUAAAGUUUGAGCUUCGAUAAUGUCGUAGAUCCGUUUGGUCAUCAGGUGUAACGAGCCACACCCAUUUCUAGCUAGAGUAGUGUGCUAGGCUCAGACUAGAGAAGAAAUGGGCAACAAACUAAUGAAAGAAUGAUCAUACCGAGGGAAUUCACUCAGAACUAACAAGAAUGAUAACGUGCUCCGACUGGAGCGGUUUAGGAACUGCUGGAAGGCUCUAGGGGAAUAAAGAAGGAAUGACUUCUAAUUUUUAGGUCCGUAUGAUUUGAAAUGUGUGCACACAAACCCCGAGAAAGCAUUCCUGGAAAUCUCGGCCCAAAAAAGGACGUUUAGUAAUUCUAAAAGGGACUACAGGAUGAAAAACAAUAGUUUUGGCAGUUAAAGUUUGAGAUUCGAUAAUGCCGUAGAUCCGUUUGGUCAUCAGGUGUAACGAGCCACACCCAUGUCUGGUUAGAGUAGUGUGCUAGGCUCAGACUAGAUAAGAAACGGGGAACAAACUGAUGAAAGAAUGAUCAUACCGAGCGAAUUCACUCAGAACUAACAAGAAUGAUAACAUGCUCCGACUGGAGCGGUUUAGGAACUGCUGGAAGGCUCUAGGGGAAUAAAGAUGGAAUGACUUCUAAUUUUUAGGUCCGUAUGAUUUGAAAUACUUGCACACAAACCACGCGAAAGCGUUCCUGGAAAUCUCAGCCCAAAAAAGGACGUUUAGUAAUUCUAAAAGGGACUACAGGAUGAAAAACAAUAGUUUUGGCAGUUAAAGUUUGAGAUUCGACAGUGCCGUAGAUCCGUUUGGUCAUCAGGUAUUACGAGCCACACCCAUGUCUAGCUAGAAUAGUGUGCUAGGCUCAGGCUAGAGAAGAAACGGGGAACAAACUGAUGAAAGAAUGAUCAAACCGAGGGAAUUCACUCAGAACUAACAAUAAUGAUAACGUGCUCCGACUGGUGCGGUUUAGGAACUGCUGGAAGGCUCUAGGGGAAUAAAGAUGGAAUGACUUCUAAUUUUUAGGUCCGUAUGAUUUGAAAUACUUGCACACAAACCGCGCGAAAGCGUUCCUGGAAAUCUCAGCCCAAAAAAGGACGUUUAGUAAUUUUAAAAGGGACUAUAGGAUGAAAAACAAUAGUUUUGGCAAUUAAAGUUUGAGAUUCGACGGUGUCGUAGAUCCGUUUGGUCAUCAGGUGUUACGAGCCACACCCAUGUCUAGCUAGAAUAGUAUGUCAGGCUCAGGUUAGAGUAGAAACGGGGAACAAACUGAUGAAAGAAUGAUCAUACCAAGGGAAUUCACUCAGAACUAUCAAGAAUGAUAACGUGCUCCGACUGGAGUGAUUUAGGAACUGCUGGAAGGCUCUAGGGGAAUAAAGAUGGAAUGACUUCUAAUUUUUACGUCCGUAUGAUUUGAAAUACUUGCACACAAAUCACGCAAAAGCGUUCCUGGAAAUCUCAGCCUAAAAAAGGACGUUUAGUAAUUCUAAAAGGGACUACAGGAUGAAAAACAAUAGUUUGGGCAGUUAAAAUUUGAGAUUCGACGGUGCCGUAGAUCCGUUUGGUCAUCAGGUGUUACGAGCGACACCCUUGUCUAGCUAGAAUAGUGUGUUAGGCUCAGACUAGAGAAGAAACGGGGAACAAAGUGAUGAAAGAAUGAUCAUACCGAGGGAAUUCACUCAGAACUAACAAGAAUGAUAACGUGCUCCGACUGGAGCGGUUUAGUAACUGCUGGAAGGCUCUAGGGGAAUGAAGAUGGAAUGACUUCUAAUUUUUAGGUCCGUAUGAUUUGAAAUACAUGCACACAAACCCUGAGAAAGCGUUCCUGGAAAUCUCGGUCGAAAAAAGGAUGUUUAAUAAUUCUAAAAGGGACUACCGGAUGAAAAACAAUAGUUUUGGCAGUUAAAGUUUGUGAUUCGAUGGUGCCGUAGAUCUGUUUGGUCAUCAGGUGUUACGAGCCACACCCAUGUCUAUCUAGAAUAGUGUGUUAGGCUCAGGCUAGAGCAGAAACGGGGAACAGACUUAUGAAAGAAUGAUCAUACCGAGGGAAUUCACUCAGAACUAACAAGAAUGAUAACGUGCUCCGACUGGCGCGGUUUAGGAACUGCUGGAAGGCUCUAGGGGAAUAAAGAUGGAAAGACUUCUAAUUUUUAGGUCCGUAUGAUUUGAAAUACUUGCACACAAACCGCACGAAAGCGUUCCUGGAAAUCUCAGCCUAAAAAGGAUGUUUAGUAAUUCUAAAAGGGACUACAAGAUGAAAAAUAAUAGUUUGGGCAGUUAAAAUUUGAGAUUCGACGAUGCCGUAGAUCCGUUUGGUCAUCAGGUGUUAUGAGCCACACCCAUGUCUAGCUAGAAUAGUGUGUUAGGCUCAGGCUAGAGAAGAAACGGGGAACAAACUGAUGAAAGAAUGAUCAUACCGAGGGAAUUCACUCAGAACUAACAAGAAUGAUAACGUGCUCCGACUGGAGCAGUUUAGAAACUGCUGGAAGGCUCUAAUGGAAUAAAGAUGGAAUGCCUUCAAAUUUCUAGGUCCGUAUGAUUUGAAAUACUUGCACACAAACCGCUCGAAAGCGUUCCUGGAAAUCUCAGCCCAAAAAAGGACGUUUAGUAAUUCUAAAAGGGACUACAGGAUGAAAAACAAUAGUUUUGGCAGUUAAAGUUUGAGAUUCGAUGGUGCCGUAGAUCCGUUUGGUCAUCAGGUGUAACGAGCCACACACAUGUCUAGCUAGAGUAGUGUGCUAGGCUCAGACUAGAGAAGAAACGGGGAACAAAGUGAUGAAAGAAUGAUCAUACCGAGGGAAUUCACUCAGAACUUACAAGAAUGAUAACGUGCUCCGACUGGAGCGCUUUAGUAACUGCUGGAAGGCUCUAGGCGAAUAAAGAUGGAAUGACUUCUAAUUUUUAGGUCCGUAUGAUUUGAAAUACUUGCACACAAACCACGCAAAACCGUUCCUAGAAAUCUCGGUCGAAAAAAGGACGUUUAGUAAUUCUAAAAGGGACUACAGGAUGAAAAACAAUAGUUUUGGCAGUUAAAGUUUGAGAUUCGAUGGUGCCGUAGAUCCGUUUGGUCAUCAGGUGUUACGAGCCACACCCAUGUCUAGCUAGAGUAGUGUGCUAGGUUCAGACUAGAGAAGAAACGGGGAACAAAGUGAUUAAAGAAUGAUCAUACCGAGGGAAUUCACUCAGAACUAACAAGAAUGAUAACGUGCUCCGACUGGAGCGGUUUAGGAACUGCUGGAAGGCUCUAGGGGAAUAAAGAUGGAAUGACUUCUAAUUUUUACGUCCGUAUGAUUUGAAAUACAUGCACACAAACCACGCAAAAGCGUUCCUGGAAAUCUCAGCCUAAAAAAGGACGUUUAGUAAUUCUAAAAGGGACUACAGGAUGAAAAAUAAUAGUUUGGGCAGUUAAAAUUUGAGAUUCGACGCUGCCGUAGAUCCGUUUGGUCAUCAGGUCUUACGAGCCACACCCAUGUCUAGCUAGAAUAGUGUGUUAGGCUCAGGCUAGAGAAGAAACGGGGAACAAACUGAUGAAAGAAUGAUCAUACCGAGGGAAUUCACUCAGAACUAACAAGAAUGAUAACGUGCUCCGACUGGAGCAGUUUAGAAACUCCUGGAAGGCUCUAGGGGAAUAAAGAUGGAAUGACUUCAAAGUUUUAGGUCCGUAUGAUUUGAAAUACUUGCACACAAACCGCGUGAAAGCGUUCCUGGAAAUCUCAACCCAAAAAAGGGCGUUUAGUAAUUCUAAAAGGGACUACAGGAUGUAAAACAAUAGUUUUGGCAGUUAAAGUUUGAGAUUCGAUGGUGCCGUAGAUCCGUUUGGUCAUCAGGUGUAACGAGCCACACCCAUGUCUAGCUAGAGUAGUGUGCUAGGCUCAGACUAGAGAAGAAACGGGGAACAAAGUGAUGAAAGAAUGAUCAUACCGAGGGAAUUCACUCAUAACUAACAAGAAUGAUAACGUGCUCUGACUUGAGCGGUUUAGGAACUGCUGGAAGGCUAUAGGGGAAUAAAGAUGGAAUGACUUCAAAUUUUUAGGUCCGUAUGAUCUGAAAUACUUGCACACAAACCGCGAGAAAGCGUUCCUGGAAAUCUCAACCCAAAAAAGGACGUUUAGUAAUUCUAAAAGGGACUACAGGAUGAAAAACAAUAGUUCUGGCAGUUAUUGUUUGAGAUUCGAUAAUCUCGUAGAUCCGUUUGGUCAUCAGGUGUAACGAGCCACACCCAUGUCUAGCUAGAGUAGUGUGCUAGGCUCAGACUAGAGAAGAAACGGGGAACAAACUGAUGAAAGAAUGAUCAUACCGAGGGAAUUCACUUAGAACUAACAAGAAUGAUAACGUGCUCCGACUGGAGCGGUUUAGGAACUGCUGGAAGGCUCUAGGGGAAUAAAGAAGGAACGACUUCUAAUUUUUAGGUCCGUAUGAUUUGAAAUAUGUGCACACAAACCACGAGAAAGCGUUCCUAGAAAUCUCGGCCCAAAAGAGGACGUUUAGUAUUCUAAAAGGGACUACAGAAUGAAAAACAAUAGUUUUGGCAGUUAAAGUUUGAGAUUUGACGGUGCCGUAGAUCUGUUUGGUCAUCAGGGGUUACGAGCCACACCCAUGUCUAGCUAGAAUAGUGUGUUAGGCUCAGGCUAGAAAAGAAACGGGGAACAAAGUGAUGAAAGAAUGAUCAUACCGAGGGAAUUCACUCAGAACUAACAAGAAUGAUAACAUGCUCCGACUGGAGCGGUUUAGGAACUGCUGGAAGGCUCUAGGGGAAUAAAGAUGGAAUGACUUCUAAUUUUUAGGUCCGUAUGAUUUGAAAUACUUGCACACAAACCGCGCGAAAGCGUUCCUGGAAAUCUCAGCCCAAAAAAGGACGUUUAGUAAUUCUAAAAGGGACUACAGGAUGAAAAACAAUAGUUUUGGCAGUUAAAGUAUGAGAUUCAACGGUGCCGUAGAUCCGUUUGGUCAUUAGGUGUUACGAGCCACACCCAUGUCUAGCUAGAAUAGUGUGCUAGGCUCAGGCUAGAGAAGAAACGGGGAACAAACUGAUGAAAGAAUGAUCAAACCGAGGGAAUUCACUCAGAACUAACAAUAAUGAUAACGUGCUCCGACUGGAGCGGUUUAGGAACUGCUGGAAGUCUCUAGGGGAAUAAAGAUGGAAUGACUUCUAAUUUUUACGUUCGUAUGAUUUGAAAAACUUGCCCAUAAACCGCGCGAAAGUGUUCCUGGAAAUCUCAGCCCAAAAAAGGACGUUUAGUAAUUUUAAAAGGGACUACACGAUGAAAAACAAUAGUUUUGGCAGGUAAAGUUUGAGAUUCGACAGUGCCGUAGAUCCGUUUGGUCAUCAGGUGUUACGAGCCACACCCAUGUCUAGCUAGAAUAGUAUGUUACGCUCAGGUUAGAGAAGAAACGGGGAACAAACUGAUGAAAGAUGAUCAUACCAAGGGAAUUCACUCAGAACUAACAAGAAUGAUAACGUGCUCCGACUGGAGCGGUUUAGGAACUGCUGGAAGGCUCUAGGGGAAUAAAGAUGGAAUGACUUCUAAUUUUUACGUCUGUAUGAUUUGAAAUACUUGCACACAAACAACGCAAAAGCAUUCCUGGAAAUCUCAUCCUAAAAAAGGACGUUUAGUAAUUCUAAAAGGGACUACAGGAUGAAAAAUAAUAGUUUGGGAAGUUAAAAUUUGAGAUUCGAUAGUGCCGUAGAUCCGUUUGGUCAUCAGGUGUUAGGAGCCACACCCAUGUCUAGCUAGAAUAGUGUGUUAGGCUCAGGCUAGAGAAGAAACAGGGAACAAACUGAUGAAAGAAUGAUCAUACCGAGGGAAUUCACUCAGAACUAGCAAGAAUGAUAACGUGCUCCGACUGGAGCAGUUUUGAAACUGCUGGAAGGCUCUAGGGGAAUAAUGAUGGAAUGACUUCUAAGUUUUUGGUCCGUAUGAUUUGAAAUACGUGCACACAAACCCAGAGAAAGUGUUCUUGGAAAUCUCGGCCGAAAAAAGGAUGUUUAAUAAUUCUAAAAGGGACUACAGGAUGAAAAACAAUAGUUUUGGCAGUUAAAGUUUGUGAUUCGAUGGUGCUGUAGAUCUGUUUGGUCAUCAGGUGUUAUGAGCCACACCCAUGUCUAGCUAGAACAGUGUGUUAGGCUCAGGCUAGAGCAGAAACGGGGAACAAACUUAUGAAAGAAUGAUCAUACCGAGGGAAUUCACUCAGAACUAACAAGAAUGAUAACGUGCUCCGACUGGAGAGGUUUAGGAACUGCUGGAAGGCUCUAGGGGAAUAAAGAUGGAAUGACUUCAAAUUUUUAGGUCUGUAUGAUCUGAAAUACUUGCACACAAACCGCGAGAAAGCGUUCCUGGAAAUCUCAGCCCAAAAAAGGACGUUUAGUGAUUCUAAAAGGGACUACGGGAUAAAAAACAAUAGUUUUGGCAGUUAAAGUUUGAGAUUCGAUAAUGCCGUAGAUCCGUUUGGUCAUCAGGUGUAACGAGCCACACCCAUGUCUAGCUAGAGUAGUGUGCUAGGCUCAUACUAGAGAAGAAAUGGGGAACAAACUGAUGAAAGAAUGAUCAUACCGAGGGAGUUCACUCAAAACUAACAUGAAUGAUAACGUGCUCCGACUGGAGCGGUUUAGGAACUGCUGGAAGGCUCUAGGGGAAUAAAGAUGGAAUGACUUCUAAUUUUUAGGUCCGUAUGAUUUGAAAUACAUGCACACAAACCCCAAGAAAGCGUUCCUGGAAAUCUCGCCCCGAAAAACGACGUUUAGUAAUUCUAAAAGGGACUAUAGGAUGAAAAACAAUAGUUUUGGCAGUUAAAGUUUGAGAUUUGACGGUGCCGUAGAUCUGUUUGGUCAUCAGGUGUUACGAGCCACACCCAUUUCUAGCUAGAAUAGUGUGUUAGGCUCAGGCUAGAAAAGAAACGGGGAACAAAGUGAUGAAAGAAUGAUCAUACCGAGGGAAUUCACUCAGAACUAACAAGAAUGAUAACAUGGUCCGACUGGAGCGGUUUAGGAACUGCUGGAAGGCUCUAGGGGAAUAAAGAUGGAAUGACUUCUAACUUUUAGGUCCGUAUGAUUUGAAUUACUUGCACACAAACCGCGCGAAAGCGUUCCUGGAAAUCUCAGCCCAAAAAAGGACGUUUAGUAAUUCUAAAAGGGACUACAGGAUGAAAAACAAUAGUUUUGGCAGUUAAAGUUUGAGAUUCGACGGUGCCGUAGAUCCGUUUGGUCAGCAGGUGUUACGAGCCACACCCAUGUCUAGCUAGAGUAGUGUGCUAGGUUCAGACUAGAGAAGAAAUGUUGGGGAACGUAGCAGAAAUUCAAAAUUUUCCUACGUGUCACCAAGAUCUAUCUAUGGAGAGACUAGCAACGAGGGAAGGAGAGUGCAUCUACAUACCCUUGUAGAUCGCUAAGCGGAAGCGUUCAAGUGAACGGGGUUGAUGGAGUCGUACUCGUCGUGAUUCAGCUCACCGAUGAUCCUAGUGCCGAACGGACGGCACCUCCGCGUUCAACACACGUACAGCUCGACGAUGUCUCCCACGCCUUGAUCCAGCAAGGAGAGAGGGAGAGGUUGAGGAAGACUCCAUCCAGCAGAAGCACAACGGCGUGGUGGUGAUGGAGGAGCAUGGCAAUCCUGCAGGGCUUCGCCAAGCACCUAUGGGAGAGGAGGAGGUGUCACGGGAGGGAGGGAGGCGCCAAGGGCUCAGGUAUAGAUGCCCUCCCUCCCCUCCACUAUAUAUAGGGGCAAGGGAGAGGGGGGAGGCGCAGCCUUGCCCCUUCCUCCAAGGAAGGGGUGCGGCUAAGAGGGGGGGAGGAGUCCAUCCUCCCCAAGGCACCUCGGAGGUGCCUUCCCCCUUUAGGACUCUCCCCUUUUUCCUAUAUCUUGGCGCAUGGGCCUCUAGGGGCUGGUUCCCUUGGCCCAUGUAGGCCCAGGCGCACCCCCUACAGCCCAUGUGGCCCCCCGGGGCAGGUGGCCCCACCUGGUGGGCCCCCGGGACCCUUCCGGUGGUCCCGGUACAAUACCGAUGACCCCGAAACUUGUCCCGAUGGCCGAAACAGGACUUCCUAUAUAUAAAUCUUUACCUCCGGACAAUUCCGGAACUCCUCGUGACGUCCGGGAUCUCAUCCGGGACUCCGAACAACAUUCGGUAACCACAUACAAACUUCCUUUAUAACCCUAGCGUCAUCGAACCUUAAGUGUGUAGACCCUACGGGUUCGGGAGACAUGUAGUCAUGACCGAGAUGUUCUCCGGUCAAUAACCAACAGCGGGAUCUGGAUACCCAUGUUGGCUCCCACAUGUUCCACGAUGAUCUCAUCGGAUGAACCACGAUGUCAAGGACUCAAUCAAUCCCGUAUACAAUUCCCUUUGUCUAGCGGUAUGGUACUUGCCCGAGAUUCGAUCGUCGGUAUACCGAUACCUUGUUCAAUCUCGUUACCGGCAAGUCUCUUUACUCAUUUCGUAACACAUCAUCCCGUGAUCAACCCCUUGGUCACAUUGUGCACAUUAUGAUGAUGUCCUACCGAGUGGGCCCAGAGAUACCUCUCCGUUUACACGGAGUGACAAAAUCCCAAUCUCGAUUCGUGCCAACCCAACAGACACUUUCAGAGAUACCCGUAGUGUACCUUUACAGCCACCCAGUUACGUUGUGACGUUUGGCACACCCAAAGCACUCCUACAGUAUCCGGGAGUUGCACAAUCUCAUGGUCUAAGGAAAUGAUACUUGACAUUAGAAAAGCUUUAGCAUACGAACUACAUGAUCUUGUGCUAGGCUUAGGAUUGGGUCUUGUCCAUCACAUCAUUCUCCUAAUGAUGUGAUCCCGUUAUCAACGACAUCCAAUGUCCAUGGUCAGGAAACCGUAACCAUCUAUUGAUUAACGAGCUAGUCAACUAGAGGCUUACUAGGGACAUGGUGUUGUCUAUGUAUCCACACAUGUAUCUAAGUUUCCUAUCAAUACAAUUCUAGCAUGGAUAAUAAACGAUUAUCAUGAACAAGGAAAUAUAAUAAUAAUCAAUUUAUUAUUGCCUCUAGGGCAUAUUUCCAACAGUCUCCCACUUGCACUAGAGUCAAUAAUCUAGUUCACAUCGAUAUGUGAUUAACACUCAAGGUCACAUUCCCAUGUGACUAACACCCAAGAGUUUACUAGAGUCAAUAAUCUAGUUCACAUUUACCAUGUGAUUAACACUUGAUGAGUUCUGGGUUUGAUCAUGUUAUGCUUGUGAGAGAGGUUAUAGUCAACGGGUCUGAACCUUUCAGAUCCGUGUGUGCUUUACAAAUCUCUAUGUCAUCUCCUAGAUGCAGCUACCACGUUCUAUUUGGAGCUAUUCCAAAUAACUGUUCUACUUGGAGCUAUUCUAAAUUGUUGCUCCAUUAUACGUAUCCGGUAUCUCUACUCAGAGCUAUCCGGAUAGGUGUUAAGCUUGCAUCGACGUAACCCUUUACGACGAACUCUUUUACCACCUCCAUAAUUGAGAAAAUUCCUUAGUCCACUAGUUACUAAGGAUAACUUUGACCGCUGUCCUGUGAUCCAUUCUUGGAUCACUCUUGUACCCCUUGACUGACUCAUGGUAAAGCACACUUCAGGUGCGGUACACAGCAUAGCAUACUGUAGAGCCUAUGUCUUAAGCAUAGGGGACGACCUUCGUUCCUUUCUCUCUAUUCUGCCAUGGUCGAGCUUUAAGUCUUAACUUCAUACCUUACAACUCAGGCAAGAACUCCUUCUUUGACUGAUCCAUCUUGAACACCUUCAAGAUCACGUCAAGGCAUGUGCUCACGUCAAGAUCACGUCGGUAUACCGAUACCUUGUUCAAUCUCGUUACCGGCAAGUCUCUUUACUCGUUCCGUAACACAUCAUCCCGUGAUCAACCCCUUGGUCACAUUGUGCACAUUAUGAUGAUGUCCUACCGAGUGGGCCCAGAGAUACCUCUCCGUUUACACGGAGUGACAAAAUCCCAAUCUCGAUUCGUGCCAACCCAACAGACACUUUCAGAGAUACCCGUAGUGUACCUUUAUAGCCACCCAGUUACGUUGUGACGUUUGGCACACCCAAAGCACUCCUACGGUAUCCGGGAGUUGCACAAUCUCAUGGUCUAAGGAAAUGAUACUUGACAUUAGAAAAGCUUUAGCAUACGAACUACAUGAUCUUGUGCUAGGCUUAGGAUUGGGUCUUGUCCAUCACAUCAUUCUCCUAAUGAUGUGAUCCCGUUAUCAACGACAUCCAAUGUCCAUGGUCAGGAAACCGUAACCAUCUAUUGAUUAACGAGCCAGUCAACUAGAGGCUUACUAGGGACAUGGUGUUGUCUAUGUAUCCACACAUGUAUCUGAGUUUCCUAUCAAUACAAUUCUAGCAUGGAUAAUAAACGAUUAUCAUGAACAAGGAAAUAUAAUAAUAAUCAAUUUAUUAUUGCCUCUAGGGCAUAUUUCCAACAGUCUCCCACUUGCACUAGAGUCAAUAAUCUAGUUCACAUCACCAUGUGAUUAACACUGACAGGUCACAUCACCAUGUGACCAACAUCCAAAGAGUCUUGGGUUUGAUCAUGUUGCUUGUGAGAGAGGUUAUAGUCAACGGGUCUGAACCUUUCAGAUCCGUGUGUGCUUUACAAAUCUCUAUGUCAUCUCCUAGAUGCAGCUACCACGUUCUAUUUGGAGCUAUUCCAAAUAACUGUUCUACUUGGAGCUAUUCUAAAUUGUUGCUCCAUUAUACGUAUCCGGUAUCUCUACUCAGAGCUAUCCGGAUAGGUGUUAAGCUUGCAUCGACGUAACCCUUUACGACGAACUCUUUUACCACCUCCAUAAUUGAGAAAAUUCCUUAGUCCACUAGUUACUAAGGAUAACUUUGACCGCUGUCCUGCGAUCCAUUCUUGGAUCACCCUUGUACCCCUUGACUGACUCAUGGUAAAGCACACUUCAGGUGCGGUACACAGCAUAGCAUACUGUAGAGCCUAUGUCUUAAGCAUAGGGGAUGACCUUCGUUCCUUUCUCUCUAUUCUGCCAUGGUCGAGCUUUAAGUCUUAACUUCAUACCUUACAACUCAGGCAAGAACUCCUUCUUUGACUGGUCCAUCUUGAACACCUUCAAGAUCAUGUCAAGGUAUGUGCUCAUUUGAAAGUACUAUUAAGCGUUUUGAUCUAUCCUUAUAGAUCUUGAUGCUCAAUGUUCAAGUAGCUUAAUCCAGGUUUUCCAUUGAAAACACUUUCCAAAUAACCCUAUAUGCUUUCCAGAAAUUCUACGUCAUUUCUGAUCAUUAAUAUGUCAACAACAUAUAAUCAUCAGAAAUUCUAUAGUGCUCCCACUCACUUCUUUGGAAAUACAAGUUUCUCAUAAACUUUGUAUACACCCAAAAUCUUUGAUCAUCAUCAAAGCAUACAUUCCAACUCCGAGAUGCUCACUCCAGUCCUCAGAAGGAUUGCUGGAGCUUUGCAUACUUAUUAGCAUAUUUCAGGAUAGACAAAACCUUCCAGUUGUAUCACAUACAACCUUUCCUCAAGAAUCGUCGACGAAACAAUGUUUUGACAUCCUAUCUGCAAGAUUUCAUAAAUAAUGCAGUAAUUGUUAAUAUAAUUCCAACAGACUCUUAGCAUCGCUACGAGUGAGAAAGUCUCAUUGUAGUCAACUCCUUGAACUUGUCAAAAAACAUCUUAACGACAAGUCGAGCUUUCUCAAUGGUGACACUUACCAUCAUUGUCUGUCUUCCUUUCAAAAUCCAUAUGUACCUAACAGCCUUACGACCAUCAAGUAGUUCUUCCAAAGUCUACACUUUGUUUUCAUACAUGGAUCCUCUCUCGGGUUUUAUGGCCAUGAGCCAUUUAUCGGAAUCCGGGCCCACCAUUGCUUCUCCAUAGCUCGUAGGUUCAUUGUUGUCUAGCAACAUGACUUCCAAGACAGGAUUACUGUACCACUCUGAAGUAGUACGUAUCCUUGUCACCCUACGAGGUUUGGGAGUGACUUGAUCUGAAGUUUCAUGAUCACUAUCAUAAGCUUCUACUUCAAUUGGUGUAGGUGCCACAGGAACAACUUCCUGUGCCCUGCUACACACUGGUUGAAGUGAUGGUUCAAUAACCUCAUCAAGUCUCCACCAUCCUCCCACUCAAUUCUUUCGAGAGAAACCUUUCCUCGAGAAAGGACCCAAUUCUAGAAACAAUUCAUAUUGCUUUCGGAUCUGAAUUAGGAAGUAUACCCAACUGUUUUGGGUGUCCUAUGAAGAUGUACUUUAUCCGCUUUGGUUUCGAGCUUAAUCCUGAAACUUUUUCACAUAAGUGUCGCAGCCCCAAACCUUUAAGAAACGACAACUUAGGUUUCUCUAAACCAUAAUUCAUACGGUGUCAUCUCAUCGGAAUUACGUGGUGCCCUAUUUAAAGUGAAUGUGGUUGUCUUUAAUGCCUAACCCAUAAACUAUCGUGGCAGUUCGAUAAGAGACAUCAUGGUAUGCAUCAUAUCCAAUAGGGUGCAACUAUGAUGUUCGGACACACCAUCACACUAUGGUGUUCCAGGCGGUAUUAAUUGUGAAACAAUUUCCACAAUGUCUUAAUUGUGUGCCAAAACUCGUAACUCAGAUACUCAUCUCUAUGAUCAUAUCAUAGACAUUUUAUCCUCUUGUCACAAUGAUCUUCUACUUCACUCUGAAAUUACUUGAACCAUUCAACAAUUCAGACUUGUGUUUCAUCAAGUAAAUAUUCUCAACAUCUACUCGAAUCAUCUGUGAAGUAAGAACAUAACGAUAUUCACUGCAUGCCUCAGCACUCAUUGGACUGCACACAUCAAAAUGUGUUACUUCCAACAAGUUGCUAUCUUGUUCCAUCUUACUGAAAACGAGGCUUUUCAGUCAUCUUGCCCAUGUGGUAUGAUUUGCAUGUCCCAAGUGAUUCAAAAAUCAAGUGAGUCAAAACGGUCCAUUUGCAUGGAGUUUCUUCAUGCAUAUACACCAAUAGACAUGGUUCGCAUGUCUCAAACUUUUCAAAAACGAGUGAGCCCAAAGAUCCAUCAAUAUGGAGCUUCUUCAUGCGUUUUAUACCGAUAUGACUUACGUGGUAGUGCCACAAGUAGGUGGUACUAUCAUUACUAUCUUUUGGCAUGAACAUGUGUAUCACUACGAUCGAGAUUUAAUAAACCAUUCAUUUUAGGUGUAAGACCAUUGAAGGUAUUAUUCAAAUAAACAGAGUAACCAUUAUUCUCCUUAAAUGAAUAACCGUAUUGCGAUAGACGUAAUCCAAUCAUGUCUAUGCUCAACGCAAACACCAAAUAACAAUUAUUUAGGUUUAACACCAAUCUCUUUGGUAGAGGGAGCGUGCGAUGCUUGAUCAUAUCAAGCAUGGAAAAACUUACAACACAUAUCGUCAGCUCACCUUUAGCUAGUCUCUGUUUAUUCCGUAGCCUUUUGUUUCGAGUUACUAACACUUAGCAACCGAACUGGUAUCUAAUACCCUGGUGCUACUAGGAGUACUAGCAAAGUACACAUUAACACAAUGUAUAUCCAAUAUACUUCUAUCGACCUUGCCAGCCUUCUUAUCUACCAAGUAUCUAGGGUAAUUCUGCUCUAGUAGUUGUUCCCCUUAUUACAGAAGCACUUAGUCUCGGGUUUGGGUUUUACCUUGGGUUUCUUCACUAGAGCAGCAGCUGAUUUGCCGUUUCAUGAAGUAUCCCUUCUUGCCCUUGCCCUUCUUGAAACUAGUGGUUCCACCAACCAUCAACAAUUGAUGCUCCUUCUUGAUUUCUACUUUCGCGGUGUCAAACAUCGCGAAUACCUCAAGGAUCAUCAUAUCUAUCCCUGAUAUGUUAUAGUUCAUCAUGAAGCUCUAACAGCUUGGUGGCAAUGACUUUGGAGAACCAUCACUAUCUCAUCUGGAAGAUCAACUCCCACUCGAUUCAAGCGAUUGUUGUACUCAGACAAUCUGAGCACAAGCUCAACGAUUGAGCUUUUCUCCCUUAGUUUGCAGGUUAAGAAAGUCAUCGGAGGUCUUAUACCUCUUGACAUGGGCACGAGCCUGAAAUCCCAAUUUCAGCCCUCAAAACAUCUCAUAUGUUUCGCGAUGUUUCAAAAACGUCUUUGGUGCCUCAACUCUAAACCGUUUAACUGAACUAUCACGUAGUUAUCAAAACGUGUAUGUCAGAUGUUCGCAACAACCACAGACAACGUUCGAGGUUCAGCACACUGAGCGGUGCAUUAAGGACAUAAGCCUUCUAUGAAGCAAUGAGGACAAUCCUCAGUUUACGGACCUAGUCCGCAUAAUUGCUACUAUCAACUUUCAACUAAUUUUUCUCUAGGAACAUAUCUAAACAGUAGAACUAUAGCGUGAGCUACGACAUAAUUUGCAAAAACCUUUUGACUAUGUUCAGGAUAAUUAAGUUCAUCUUAUGAACUCCCACUCAGAUAGACAUCCCUCUAGUCAUCUAAGUGAUUACAUGAUCCGAGUCAAACUAGGCCGUGUCCGAUCAUCACGUGAGACGGACUAGUCAUCAUCGGUGAACAUCUUCAUGUUGAUCGUAUCUUCUAUACGACUCAUGUUCGACCUUUCGGUCUUCGUGUUCCGAGGCCAUGUAUGUACAUGCUAGGCUCGUCAAGUUAACCCUAAGUGUUUCGCGUGUGUAAAUCUGUCUUACACCCGUUGUAUGUGAACGUUAGAAUCUAACACCCGAUCAUCACGUGGUGCUUCGAAACACGAACUGUCGCAACGGUGCACAGUUAGGGGAGAACACUUCUUGAAAUUGUUGUAAGGGAUCAUCUUAUUUACUACCGUCGUUCUAAGCAAAUAAGAUGUAUAAACAUGAUAAACAUCACAUGCAAUCAAAUAGUGACAUGAUAUGGCCAUCAUCACUUUGCUCCUUUUGAUCUCCAUCUUCGGGGCUCCAUGAUCAUCAUCGUCACCGGCAUGACACCAUGAUCUCCAUCAUCAUGAUCUCCAUCAUCGUGUCUUCAUGAAGUUGCCUCGCCAACUAUUACUUCUACUACUAUGGCUAACGGUUAGCAAUAAAGUAAAGUAAUUACAUGACGUUUAAGUUGACACGCAGGUCACAAAUGAAUAAAGACAACUCCUAUGGCUCCUGCCGGUUGUCAUACUCAUCGACAUGCAAGUCGUGAUUCCUAUUACAAGAACAUGAUCAAUCUCAUACAUCACAUAUAUCAUUCAUCACAUCCUUUUUGGCCAUAUCACAUCACAUAGCAUACCCUGCAAAAACAAGUUAGACGUCCUCUAAUUGUUGUUUGCAUGUUUUACGUGGCUGCUAUGGGUUUCUAGCAAGAACGUUUCUUACCUACGCAUGAACAACAACGUGAUAUGCCAAUUGCUAUUUACCCUUCAUAAGGACCCUUUUCAUCGAAUCCGAUCCGACUAAAGUGGGAGAGACAGACACCCGCCAGCCACCUUAUGCAACUAGUGCAUGUUUGUCGGUGGAACCGGUCUCACGUAAGCGUACGUGUAAGGUUGGUCCGGGCCGCUUCAUCCCACGAUGCCGCCGAAUCAAGAUAAGACUAGUAACGGCAAGCAUAUUGAACAAUAUCAACGCCCACAACUACUUUGUGUUCUACUCGUGCAAAGAAUCUACGCAAUAGACCUAGCUCAUGAUGCCACUGUUGGGGAACGUAGCAGAAAUUCAAAAUUUUCCUACGUGUCACCAAGAUCUAUCUAUGGAGAUACUAGCAACGAGGGAAGGAGAGUGCAUCUACAUACCCUUGUAGAUCGCUAAGCGGAAGCGUUCAAGUGAACGGGGUUGAUGGAGUCGUACUCGUCGUGAUUCAGAUCACCGAUGAUCCUAGUGCCGAACGGACGGCACCUCCGCGUUCAACACACGUACAGCUCGACGAUGUCUCCCACGCCUUGAUCCAGCAAGGAGAGAGGGAGAGGUUGAGGAAGACUCCAUCCAGCAGCAGCACAACGGCGUGGUGGUGAUGGAGGAGCGUGGCAAUCCUGCAGGGCUUCGCCAAGCACCUACGGGAGAGGAGGAGGUGUCACGGGAGGGAGGGAGGCGCCAAGGGCUCAGGUAUAGAUGCCCUCCCUCCCCUCCACUAUAUAUAGGGGCAAGGGAGAGGGGGAGGCGCAUCCUUGCCCCUUCCUCCAAGGAAGGGGUGCGGCUAAGAGGGGGGGAGGAGUCCAUCCUCCCCAAGGCACCUCGGAGGUGCCUUCCCCCUUUAGGACUCUCCCCUUUUUCCUAUAUCUUGGCGCAUGGGCCUCUAGGGGCUGGUGCCCUUGGCCCAUGUAGGCCAAGGCGCACCCCCCUACAGCCCAUGUGGCCCCCCGGGGCAGGUGGCCCCACCCGGUGGGCCCCCGGGACCCUUCCGGUGGUCCCGGUACAAUACCGAUGACCCCGAAACUUGUCCCGAUGGCCGAAACAGGACUUCCUAUAUAUAAAUCUUUACCUCCGGACCAUUCCGGAACUCCUCGUGACGUCCGGGAUCUCAUCCGGGACUCCGAACAACAUUCGGUAACCACAUACAAACUUCCUUUAUAACCCUAGCGUCAUCGAACCUUAAGUGUGUAGACCCUACGGGUUCGGGAGACAUGUAGUCAUGACCGAGAUGUUCUCCGGUCAAUAACCAACAGCGGGAUCUGGAUACCCAUGUUGGCUCGCACAUGUUCCACGAUGAUCUCAUCGGAUGAACCACGAUGUCAAGGACUCAAUCAAUCCCGUAUACAAUUCCCUUUGUCUAGCGGUAUGGUACUUGCCCGAGAUUCGAUCGUCGGUAUACCGAUACCUUGUUCAAUCUCGUUACCGGCAAGCCUCUUUACUCGUUCCGUAACACAUCAUCCCGUGAUCAACCCCUUGGUCACAUUGUGCACAUUAUGAUGAUGUCCUACCGAGUGGGCCCAGAGAUACCUCUCCGUUUACACGGAGUGACAAAAUCCCAAUCUCGAUUCGUGCCAACCCAACAGACACUUUCAGAGAUACCCGUAGUGUACCUUUAUAGCCACCCAGUUACGUUGUGACGUUUGGCACACCCAAAGCACUCCUACGGUAUCCGGGAGUUGCACAAUCUCAUGGUCUAAGGAAAUGAUACUUGACAUUAGAAAAGCUUUAGCAUACGAACUACAUGAUCUUGUGCUAGGCUUAGNNNNNNNNNNUGAUCAACCCCUUGGUCACAUUGUGCACAUUAUGAUGAUGUCCUACCGAGUGGGCCCAGAGAUACCUCUCCGUUUACACGGAGUGACAAAAUCCCAAUCUCGAUUCGUGCCAACCCAACAGACAUUUUCAGAGAUACCCGUAGUGUACCUUUAUAGCCACCCAGUUACGUUGUGACGUUUGGCACACCCAAAGCACUCCUACGGUAUCCGGGAGUUGCACAAUCUCAUGGUCUAAGGAAAUGAUACUUGACAUUAGAAAAGCUUUAGCAUACGAACUACAUGAUCUUGUGCUAGGCUUAGGAUUGGGUCUUGUCCAUCACAUCAUUCUCCUAAUGAUGUGAUCCCGUUAUCAACGACAUCCAAUGUCCAUGGUCAGGAAACCGUAACCAUCUAUUGAUUAACGAGCUAGUCAACUAGAGGCUUACUAGGGACAUGGUGUUGUCUAUGUAUCCACACAUGUAUCUGAGUUUCCUAUCAAUACAAUUCUAGCAUGGAUAAUAAACGAUUAUCAUGAACAAGGAAAUAUAAUAAUAAUCAAUUUAUUAUUGCCUCUAGGGCAUAUUUCCAACAAGAAACGGGGAACAAACUGAUGAAAGAAUGAUCAUACCGAGGGAAUUCACUCAGAACUAACAAGAAUGAUAACGUGCUUUGACUGGAGCGGUUUAAAAACUGCUGGAAGGCUCUAGGGGAAUAAAGAUGGAAUGCCUUCAAAUUUCUAGGUCCGUAUGAUUUGAAAUACUUGCACACAAACCGCGCGAAAGCGUUCCUGGAAAUCUCAGCCCAAAAAAGGACGUUUAGUAAUUCUAAAAGGGACUACAGAAUGAAAAACAAUAGUUUUGGCAGUUAAAGUUUGAGAUUCGAUGGUGCCGUAGAUCCGUUUGGUCAUCAGGUGUAACGAGCCACACCCAUGUCUAGCUAGAGUAGUGUGCUAGGCUCAGGCUAGAGAAGAAACGGGGAACAAACUGAUGAAAGAAUGAUCAUACCGAGGGAAUUCACUCAGAACUAACAAGAAUGAUAACGUGCUCCGACUGGAGCGGUUUAGGAACUGCUGGAAGGCUCUAGGGGAAGAAAGAAGGAAUGACUUCUAAUUUUUAGGUCCGUAUGAUUUGAAAUACGUGCACACAAACCGCGCGAAAGCGUUCCUGGAAAUCUCAGCCCAAAAAAGGACGUUUAGUAUUCUAAAAGGGACUACAGAAUGAAAAACAAUAGUUUUGGCAGUUAAAGUUUGAGAUUCGACGGUGCCGUAGAUCCGUUUGGUCAUCAGGUGUUACGAGCCACACCCAUGUCUAGCUAGAAUAGUGUGCNNNNNNNNNNNNNNNNNNNNNNNNNCGUAUGAUUUGAAAUACGUGCACACAAACCGCGCGAAAGCGUUCCUGGAAAUCUCAGCCCAAAAAAGGACGUUUAGUAUUCUAAAAGGGACUACAGAAUGAAAAACAAUAGUUUUGGCAGUUAAAGUUUGAGAUUCGACGGUGCUGUAGAUCCGUUUGGUCAUCAGGUGUUACGAGCCACACCCAUGUCUAGCUAGAAUAGUGUGCUAGGCUCAGGCUAGAGAAGAAAAGGGGAACAAACUAAUGAAAGAAUGAUCAAUACGAGGGAAUUCACUCAGAACUAACAAUAAUGAUAACGUGCUCCGACUGGAGCGGUUUAGGAACUGCUGGAAGGCUCUAGGCGAAUAAAGAUGGAAUGACUUCUAAUUUUUACGUCCGUAUGAUUUGAAAUACUUGCACACAAACCACGCAAAAGCGUUCCUGGAAAUCUCGGCCUAAAAAGGACGUUUAGUAAUUCUAAAAGGGACUACAGGAUGAAAAAUAAUAGUUUGGGCAGUUAAAAUUUGAGAUUCGACGGUGCCGUAGAUCCGUUUGGUCAUCAGGUGUUACGAGCCACACCCAUGUCUAGCUAGAAUAGUGUGUUAGGCUCAGGCUAGAGAAGAAACGAGGAACAAACUGAUGAAAGAAUGAUCAUACCAAGGGAAUUCACUCAGAACUAACAAGAAUGAUAACGUGCUCCGACUGGAGCAGUUUAGAAACUGCUGGAAGGCUCUAGGGGAAUAAAGAUGGAAUGACUUCUGAUUUUUAGGUCCGUAUGAUUUGAAAUACGUGCACACAAACCCCGCGAAAGCGUUCCUGGAAAUCUCAGCCCAAAAAAGGACGUUUAGUAAUUCUAAAAGGGACUACAACAUGAAAAACAAUAGUUUUGGCAGUUAAAGUUUGAGAUUUCAUGGUGCCGUAGAUCUGUUUGGUCAUCAGGUGUUACGAGCCACACCCAUGUCUAGCUAGAAUAGUGUGUUAGGCUCAGGCUAGAAAAGAAACGGGAAACAAAGUGAUGAAAGAAUGACCAUACCGAGGGAAUUCACUCAGAACUAACAAGAAUGAUAACAUGCUCCGACUUGAGCGGUUUAGGAACUGCUGGAAGGCUCUAGGGGAAUAAAGAUGGAAUGACUUCUAAUGUUUAGGUCCGUAUGAUUUGAAAUACUUGCACAUAAACCGCACAAAAGCGUUCCUGGAAAUCUCAGCCCAAAAAAGGACGUUUAGUAAUUCUAAAAGGGACUACAGGAUGAAAAACAAUAGUUUUGGCAGUUAAAGUUUGAGAUUCGACGGUGCCGUAGAUCCGUUUGGUCAUCAGGUGUUACGAGCCACACCCAUGUCUAGCUAGAAUAGUGUGUUAGGCUCAGGCUAGAGAAGAAACUUGGAACAAACUGAUGAAAGAAUGAUCAAACCAACGGAAUUCACUCAGAACUAACAAUAAUGAUAACGUGCUCCGACUGGAGCAGUUUAGGAACUGCUGGAAGGCUCUAGGGGAAUAAAGAUGGAAUGACUUCUAAUUUUUAGGUCCGUAUGAUUUGAAAUACUUGCACGCAAACCGCGCGAAAGCGUUCCUGGAAAUAUCAGCCCAAAAAAGGACGUUUAGUAAUUCUAAAAGGGACUACAGGAUGAAAACAAUAGUUUUGGCAGUUAAAGUUUGAGAUUCAACAGUGCCGUAGAUCCGUUUGGUCAUCAGGUGUUAUGAGCCAUACCCAUGUCUAGCUAGAGUAGUGUGCUAGGCUCAGGCUAGAGAAGAAACAGGGAACAAACUGAUGAAAGAAUGAUCAUACCGAGGGAAUUCACUCAGAACUAACAAGAAUGAUAACGUGCUCCGACUGGAGCGGUUUAGGAACUGCUGGAAGGCUCUAGGGGAAUAAAGAUGGAGUGACUUCUAAAUUUUUAGGUCCGUAUGAUUUAAAAUACUUGCACACAAACCGCACGAAAGCGUUCCUUGAAAUCUCAGCCCAAAAAAGGACGUUUAGUAAGUCUAAAAGGGACUAUAGGAUGAAAAACAAUAGUUUUGGCAGUUAAAGUUUGAGAUUCGAUGGUGCCGUAGAUCUGUUUGGUCAUCAGGUGUUACGAGCCACACCCAUGUCUAGUUGGAAUAGUGUGCUAGGCUCAGACUAGAGAAGAAACAGGGAACAAACUGAUGAAAGAAUGAUCAAACCGAGGAAAUUCACUCAGAACUAACAAUAAUGAUAACAUGCUCCGACUGGAGCGGUUUAGGAACUGCUGGAAGGCUCUAGGGGAAUAAAGAUGGAAUGACUUCUAAAUUUUUAGGUCCGUAUGAUUUGAAAUAGUUGCACACAAACUGCGCGAAAGCGUUCCUGGAAAUCUCAGCCCAAAAAAGGACGUUUAGUAAUUCUAAAAGGGACUAUAGGAUGAAAAACAAUAGUUUUGGCAGUUAAAGUUUGAGAUUCGACGGUGCCGUAGAUCCGUUUGGUCAUCACGUGUUACAAGCCACACCCAUGUCUAGCUAGAGUAGUGUGCUAGGCUCAGACUAUAGAAGAAACGGGGACCAAACUGAUGAAAGAAUGAUCAAACCGAGGAAAUUCACUCAGAACUAACAAUAAUGAUAACAUGCUCCGACUGGAGCGGUUUAGGAACUACUGGAAGGCUCUAGGGGAAUAAAGAUGGAAUGACUUCUAAAUUUUUAGGUCCGUAUGAUUUUAAAUAGUUGCACACAAACUGCGCGAAAGCGUUCCUGGAAAUCUCAGCCCAAAAAAGGACGUUUAGUAAUUCUAAAAGGGACUACAGGAUGAAAAACAAUAGUUUGGGCAGUUAAAAUUUGAGAUUCGACGGUGCCGUAGAUCCGUUUGGUCAUCAGGUGUUACGAGCCACACCCAUGUCUAGCUAGAGUAGUGUGCUAGGCUCAGGCUAGAGAAGAAACAGGGAACAAACUGAUGAAAGAAUGAUCAUACCGAGGGAAUUCACUCAGAACUAACAAGAAUGAUAACGUGCUCUGACUGGAGCGGUUUAAGAACUGUUGGAAGGCUCUAGGGGAAUAAAGAUGGAAUCACUUCAAAUUUUUACGUCCGUGUGAUUUGAAAUACUUGCACACAAACCGCACGAAAGCGUUCCUGGAAAUCUCAGCCCAAAAAAGGACGUUUAGUAAGUCUAAAAGGGACUACACGAUGAAAAACAAUAGUUUUGGCAGUUAAAGUUUGAGAUUCGACAGUGCCGUAGAUCCGUUUGGUCAUCAGGUGUAACGAGCCACACCCAUGUCUAGAUAGAGUAGUGUGCUAGGCUCAAACUAGAGAAGAAACGGGGAACAAACUGAUGAAAGAAUGAUCAUACCGAGGGAAUUCACUCAGAAAUAACAAGAAUGAUAACGUGCUCUGACUGGAGCGGUUUAGGAACUGCUGGAAGGCUCUAGGGGAAUAAAGAAGGAAUGACUUCUAAUUUUUAGGUCCGUAUGAUUUGAAAUACGUGCACACAAACCCCGAGAAAGCGUUCCUGGAAAUCUCGACCCAAAAAAGGACGUUUAGUAAUUCUAAAAGGGACUACGGGAUGAAAAACAAUAGUUUUGGCAGUUAAAGUUUGAGAUUCGAUAAUGCCGUAGAUCCAUUUGGUCAUCAGGUGUAACGAGCCACACCCAUGUCUAGCUAGAGUAGUGUGCUAGGCUCAGACUAGAGAAGAAACAGGGAACAAACUGAUGAAAGAAUGAUCAUAUCGAGGGAAUUCACUCAGAACUAACAAGAAUGAUAACAUGCUCCGACUUGAGCGGUUUAGGAACUGCUGGAAGGCUCUAGGGGAAUAAAGAUGGAAUGACUUCUAAUUUUUAGGUCCGUAUGAUUUGAAAUACUUACACACAAACCACGCGAAAGCGUUCCUGGAAAUCUCAGCCCAAAAAAGGACGUUUAGUAAUUCUAAAAGGGACUACAUGAUGAAAAACAAUAGUUUUCGCAGUUAAAGUUUGAGAUUCGACGGUGCCGUAGAUCCGUUUGGUCAUCAAGUGUUACGAGCCACACCCAUGUCUAGCUAGAAUAGUGUGUUAGGCUCAGCCUAGAGAAGAAACGGGGAACAAACUGAUGAAAGAAUGAUCAUACCGAGGGAAUUCACUCAGAACUUACAAGAAUGAUAACGUGCUCCGACUUGAGCGGUUUAAGAACUGUUGGAAGGCUCUAGGGGAAUAAAGAUGGAAUCACUUCAAAUUUUUACGUCCGUGUGAUUUGAAAUACUUGCACACAAACCCCGAGAAAGCGUUCCUGGAAAUCUCGGCCGAAAAAAGGAUGUUUAAUAAUUCUAAAAGGGACUACAGGAUGAAAAACAAUAGCUUUGGCAGUUAAAGUUUGUGAUUCGAUGGUGCCGUAGAUCUGUUUGGUCAUCAGGUGUUAUGAGCCACACCCAUGUCUAGCUAGAAUAGUGUGUUAGGCUCAGGCUAGAGCAGAAACUAGGAACAAACUUAUGAAAGAAUGAUCAUACCGAGGGAAUUCACUCAGAACUAACAAGAAUGAUAACGUGCUCCGACUGGAGCGGUUUAGGAACUGCUGGAAGGCUCUAGGGGAAUAAAGAUGGAAUGACUUCUAAUUUUUAGGUCCGUAUGAUUUGAAAUACAUGCACACAAACCCCAAGAAAGCGUUCCUAGAAAUCUCAGCCCAAAAAGGACGUUUAGUAAUUCUAAAAGGGACUACAGGAUGAAAAACAAUAGGUUUGGCAGUUAAAGUUUGAGAUUCGAUAAUGCCGUAGAUCCGUUUGGUCAUCAGGUGUAACGAGCCACACCCAUGUCUAGCUACAUUAGUGUGCUAGGCUCAGACUAGAGAAGAAACGGGGAACAAACUGAUGAAAGAAUGAUCAUACCGAGGGAAUUCACUCAGAACUAACAAGAACGAUAACAUGCUCCGACUGCAGCGGUUUAGGAACUGCUGGAAGGCUCUAGGGGAAUAAAGAAGGAAUGACUUCUAAUUUUUAGGUCCGUAUGAUUUGAAAUACUUGCACACAAACCGCGCGAAAGCAUUCCUGGAAAUCUCAGCCCAAAAAAGGACGUUUAGUAAUUCUAAAAGGGACUACAGGAUGAAAAACAAUAAUUUUGGCAGUUAAAGUUUGAGAUUCGACGGUGCCGUAGAUCCGUUUGGUCAUCAGGUGUUACGGGCCAUACCCAUGUCUAGCUAGAAUAGUGUGUUAGGCUCAGGUUAGAGAAGAAACGGGGAACAAAGUGAUGAAAGAAUGAUCAUACCGAGGGAAUUCACUCAGAACUAACAAGAAUGAUAACGUGCUCCGACUGGAGCGGUUUAGGAAUUGCUGGAAGGCUCUAGGGGAAUAAAGAUGGAAUGACUUCUAUAUUUUACGUCCGUAUGAUUUGAAAUACUUGCACACAAACCACGCAAAAGCACUCCUGGAAAUAUCAGCCUAAAAAGGAUGUUUAGUAAUUCUAAAAGGGACUACAGGAUGAAAAAUAAUAGUUUUGGCAGUUAAAAUUUGAGAUUCAACGGUGCCGUAAAUCCGUUUGGUCAUCAGGUGUUACGAGCCACACCCAUGUCUAGCUAGAAUAGUGUGUUAGGCUCAGGUUAGAGAAGAAACGGGGAACAAACUGAUGAAAGAAUGAUCAUACAAGGGGAAUUCACUCAGAACUAUCAAGAAUGAUAACGUGCUCCGACUGGAGCAGUUUAGGAACUGCCGGAAGGCUCUAGGGGAAUAAAGAUGGAAUGACUUCUAAUUUUUAUGUCCGUAUGAUUUGAAAUACUUGCACACAAACCACGCAAAAGCGUUCCUGGAAAUCUCAGCCUAAAAAGGACGUUUAGUAAUUCUAAAAGGGACUACAGGAUGAAAAACAAUAGUUUGGGCAGUUAAAAUUCGAGAUUCGACGGUGCCGUAGAUCCGUUUGGUCAUCAGGUGUUACGAGCCACACCCAUGUCUAGCUAGAAUAGUGUGUUAGGCUCAGGCUAGAGAAGAAACGGGGAACAAACUGAUGAAAGAAUGAUCAUAUCGAGGGAAUUCACUCAGAACUAACAAGAAUGAUAACGUGCUCCGACUGGAGCGGUUUAGUAACUGCUGGAAGGCUCUAGGGGAAUAAAGAUGGAAUGACUUCUAAUUAUUAGGUCCGUAAGAUUUGAAUUACAUGCACACAAACCCCGAGAAAGCGUUCCUGGAAAUCUCGGUCGAAAAAAGGAUGUUUAGUAAUUCUAAAAGGGACUACAGGAUGAAAAACAAUAGUUUUGGCAGUUAAAGUUUGUGAUUCGAUGGUGCCGUAGAUCUGUUUGGUCAUCAGGUGUUACGAGCCACACCCAUGUCUAGCUAGAAUAGUGUGUUAGGCUCAGGCUAGAGCAGAAACGGGGAACAAACUUAUGAAAGAAUGAUCAUGCCGAGGGAAUUCACUCAGAACUAACAAGAAUGAUAACGUGCUCCGACUGGAGCGGUUUAGGAACUGCUGGAAGGCUCUAGGGGAAUAAAGAUGGAAUGACAUCAAAUUUUUAGGUCCGUAUGAUUUGAAAUACUUGCACACAAACCGCAAGAAAGCGUUCUUGGAAAUCUCCGCCCAAAAAAGGACGUUUAGUAAUUCUAAAAGGGUCUACAGGAUGAAAAACAAUAGUUCUGGCAGUUAAAGUUUGAGAUUCGAUAAUGUCGUAGAUCCGUUUGGUCAUCAGGCGUAACGAGCCACACCCAUUUCUAGCUAGAGUAGUGUGCUAGGCUCAGACUAGAGAAGAAACGGGGAACAACCUGAUGAAAGAAUGAUCAUACCGAGGGAAUUCACUCAGAACUAACAAGAAUGAUAACGUGCUCCGACUGGAGCGGUUUAGGAACUGCUGGAAGGCUCUACGGGAAUAAAGAAGGAAUGACUUCUAAUUUUUAGGUCCGUAUGAUUUGAAAUACGUGCACACAAACCCCGAGAAAGCGUUCCUGGAAAUCUCGGCCCAAAAAAGGACGUUUAGUAUUCUAAAAGCGACUACAGAAUGAAAAACAAUAGUUUUGGUAGUUAAAGUUUGAGAUUUAACGGUGCCGUAGAUCUGUUUGGUCAUCAGGUGUUACGAGCCACACCCAUGUCUAGCUAGAAUAGUGUGUUAGGCUCAGGCUAGAUAAGAAACAGGGAACAAAGUGAUGAAAGAAUGAUCAUACCAAGGGAAUUCACUCAGAACUAACAAGAACGAUAACAUGCUCCGACUGGAGUGGUUUAGGAACUGCUGGAAGGCUCUAGGGGAAUAAAGAUGGAAUGACUUCUAAUUUUUAGGUCUGUAUGAUUUGAAAUACUUGCACACAAACCGCACGAAAGCGUUCCUGGAAAUCUCAUCCCAAAAAAGGACGUUUAGUAAUUCUAAAAGGGACUACAGGAUGAAAAACAAUAGUUUUGGCAGUUAAAGUUUGAGAUUCGAUAAUGCUGUAGAUCCGUUUGGUCAUCAGGUGUAACGAGCCACACCCAUGUCUAGCUAGAGUAGUGUGCUAGGCUCAGACUAGAGAAGAAACGGGGAACAAACUGAUGAAAGAAUGAUCAUACCGAGGGAAUUCACUCAGAACUAACAAUAAUGAUAACGUGCUCCGACUGGAGCGGUUUAGGAACUGCUGGAAGGCUCUAGGGGAAUAAAGAUGGAAUGAGUUCUAAUUUUUAGGUCUGUAUGAUUUGAAAUACUUGCACACAAACCGCGUGAAAGCAUUCCUGGAAAUUUCAGCCCAAAAAAGGACGUUUAGUAAUUUUAAAAGGGACUACACGAUGAAAAACAAUAGUUUUGGCAGUUAAAGUUUGAGAUUCGACGGUGCCGUAGAUCCGUUUGGUCAUCAGGUGUUACGAGCCACACCCAUGUCUAGCUAGAAUAGUAUGUUAGGCUCGGGUAAGAGAAGAAACGGGGAACAAACUGAUGAAAGAAUGAUCAUACCAAGGGAAUUCACUCAGAACUAACAAGAAUGAUAACGUGCUCCGACUGGAGCGGUUUAGGAACUGCUGGAAGGCUCUAGGGGAAUAAAGAUGGAAUGACUUCUAAUUUUUACGUUCGUAUGAUUUGAAAUACUUGCACACAAACCACGCAAAAGCGUUCCUGGAAAUCUCAUCCUAAAAAAGGACGUUUAGUAAUUCUAAAAGGGACUACAGGAUGAAAAAUAAUAGUUUGGGCAGUUAAAAUUUGAGAUUCGACGGUGCCGUAGAUCCGUUUGGUCAUCAGGUGUUACGAGCCACACCCAUGUCUAGCUAGAAUAGUGUGUUAGGCUCAGGCUAGAGAAGAAACGGGGAACAAACUGAUGAAAGAAUGAUCAUAUCGAGGGAAUUCACUCAGAACUAACAAGAAUGAUAACGUGCUCCGACUGGAGCAGUUUAGAAACUGCUGGAAGGCUCUAGGGGAAUAAAGAUGGAAUGACUUCUAAUUUUUAGGUCUGUAUGAUUUGAAAUACGUGCACACGAACCCCGAGAAAGCGUUCCUGGAAAUCUCGGCCCAAAAAAGGACGUUUAGUAAUUCUAAAAGGGACUACAGGAUGAAAAACAAUAGUUUUGGCAGUUAAAGUUUGAGAUUCGACGGUGCCGUAGAUCCGUUUGUUCAUCAGGUGUUACGAGCCACACCCAUGUCUAGCUAGAAUAGUGUGUUAGGCUCAGGCUAGAGAAGAAACGGGGAACAAACUGAUGAAAGAAUGAUCAUACCGAGGGAAUUCACUCAGAACUAACAAGAAUGAUAACGUGCUCCGACUGGAGCGGUUUAGGAACUGCUAGAAGGCUCUAGGGGAAUAAAGAAGGAAUGACUUCUAAUUUUUAGGUCCGUAUGAUUUGAAAUACGUGCACACAAACCCCGAGAAAGCGUUCCUGGAAAUCUUGGCCCAAAAAAGGACGUUUAGUAUUCUAAAAGCGACUACAGAAUGAAAAACAAUAGUUUUGCUAGUUAAAGUUUGAGAUUUGAUGGUGCCGUAGAUCUGUUUGGUCAUCAGGUUUUACGAGCCACACCCAUGUCUAGCUAGAAUAGUGUGUUAGGCUCAGGCUAGAAAAGAAACAGGGAAUAAAGUGAUGAAAGAAUGAUCAUACCAAGGGAAUUCACUCAGAACUAACAAGAACGAUAACAUGCUCCGACUGGAGUGGUUUAGAACUGCUGGAAGGCUAAAGGGGAAUAAAGAUGGAAUGACUUCUAAUUUUUAGGUCCGUAUGAUUUGAAAUACUUGCACACAAACCGCACGAAAGUGUUCCUGGAAAUCUCAGCCCAAAAAAGGACGUUUAGUAAUUCUAAAAGGGACUACAGGAUGAAAAACAAUAGUUUUGGCAGUUAAAGUUUGAGAUUCGAUAAUGACGUAGAUCCGUUUGGUCAUCAGGUGUAACGAGCCACACCCAUGUCUAGCUAGAGUAGUGUGCUAGGCUCAGACUAGAGAAGAAACGGGGAACAAACUGAUGAAAGAAUGAUCAUACCGAGGGAAUUCACUCAGAACUAACAAUAAUGAUAACGUGCUCCGACUAGAGCGGUUUAGGAACUGCUGGAAGGCUCUAGGGGAAUAAAGAUGGAAUGACUUCUAAUUUUUAGGUCCCUAUGAUUUGAAAUACUUGCACACAAACCGCGUGAAAGCAUUCCUGGAAAUUUCAGCCCAAAAAAGGACGUUUAGUAAUUUUAAAAGGGACUACACGAUGAAAAAGAAUAGUUUUGGCAGUUAAAGUUUGAGAUUCGACGGUGCCGUAGAUCCGUUUGGUCAUCAGGUGUUACGAGACACACCCAUGUCUAGCUAGAAUAGUAUGUUAGGCUCGGGUUAGAGAAGAAACGGGGAACAAACUGAUGAAAGAAUGAUCAUACCAAGGGAAUUCACUCAGAACUAACAAGAAUGAUAACGUGCUCCGACUGGAGCGGUUUAGGAACUGCUGGAAGGCUCUAGGGGAAUAAAGAUGGAAUGACUUCUAAUUUUUACGUUCGUAUGAUUUGAAAUACUUGCAAACAAACCACGCAAAAGCGUUCCUGGAAAUUUCAUCCUAAAAAAGGACGUUUAGUAAUUCUAAAAGGGACUACAGGAUGAAAAAUAAUAGUUUGGGCAGUUAAAAUUUGAGAUUCGAUGGUGCCGUAGAUCCGUUUGGUCAUCAGGUGUUACGAGCCACACCCAUGUCUAGCUAGAAUAGUGUGUUAGGCUCAGGCUAGAGAAGAAACGGGGAACAAACUGAUGAAAGAAUGAUCAUAUCGAGGGAAUUCACUCAGAACUAACAAGAAUGAUAACGUGCUCCGACUGGAGCAGUUUAGAAACUGCUGGAAGGCUCUAGGGGAAUAAAGAUGGAAUGACUUCUAAUUUUUAGGUCUGUAUGAUUUGAAAUACGUGCACACAAACCCCGAGAAAGCGUUCCUGGAAAUCUCGUCCGGAAAAAGGAUGUUUAAUAAUUCUAAAAGGGACUACAGGAUGAAAAACAAUAGUUUUGGCAGUUAAAGUUUGUGAUUCGAUGGUGCCGUAGAUCUGUUUGGUCAUCAGGUGUUACGGGCCACACCCAUGUCUAGCUAGAAUAGUGUGUUAGGCUCAGGCUAGAGCAGAAACGGGGAGCAAACUUAUGAAAGAAUGAUCAUAGCGAGGGAAUUUACUCAGAACUAACAAGAAUGAUAACGUGCUCCGACUGGAGCGGUUUAGGAACUGCUGGAAGGCUCUAGGGGAAUAAAGAUGGAAUGACUUCAAAUUUUCAGGUAUGUAUGAUCUGAAAUACUUGCACACAAACCGCGAGAAAGCGUUCCUGGAAAUCUCAACCCAAAAAAGGAUGUUUAGUAAUUCUAAAAGGGACUACAGGAUUAAAAACAAUAGUUUUGGCAGUUAAAGUUUGAGAUUCGAUAAUGUCGUAGAUCCGUUUGGUCAUCAGGUGUAACGAGCCACACCCAUGUCUAGCUAGAGUAGUGUGCUAGGCUCAUACUAGAGAAGAAACGGGGAACAAACUGAUGAAAGAAUGAUCAUACCGAGGGAAUUCACUCAGAACUAACAAGAAUGAUAACGUGCUCCGACUGGAGCGGUUUAGGAACUGCUGGAAGGCUCUAGGGGAAUAAAGAUGGAAUGACUUCUUAUUUUUAGGUCCGUAUGAUUUGAAAUACAUGCACACAAACCCCAAGAAAGCGUUCCGGGAAAUCUCGGCCCAAAGAAUGAUGUUUAGUAAUUCUAAAAGGGACUAUAGAAUGAAAAACAAUAGUUUUGGCAGUUAAAGUUUGAGAUUUGACGGUGUCGUAGAUCUGUUUGGUCAUCAGGUGUUACGAGCCACACCCAUUUCUAGCUAGAAUAGUGUGUUAGGCUCAGGCUAGAAAAGAAACGGGGAACAAAGUGAUGAAAGAAUGAUCAUACCGAGGGAAUUCACUCAGAACUAACAAGAAUGAUAACAUGCUCCGACUAGAGCGGUUUAGGAACUGCUGGAAGGCUCUAGGGGAAUAAAUAUGGAAUGACUUCUAAUUUUCAGGUCCGUAUGAUUUGAAAUACUUGCACACAAACCGCGCGAAAGCGUUCCUGGAAAUCUCAUCCCAAAGAAGGUCGUUUAGUAAUUCUAAAAGGGACUACAGGAUGAAAAACAAUAGUUUUGGCAAUUUAAGGUUUGAGAUUCGACGGUGCCGUAGAUCCGUUUGGUCAUCAGGUGUUACGAGCCACACCCAUGUCUAGCUAGAAUAGUGUGCUAGGCUCAGGCUAGAGAAGAAACAGGGAACAAACUGAUGAAAGAAUGAUCAAACCGAGGGAAUUCACUCAGAACUAACAAUAAUGAUAACGUUCUCCGUCUGGAGCGGUUUAGGAACUGCUGGAAGGCUCUAGGGGAAUAAAGAUGGAAUGACUUCUAAUUUUUAGGUCCGUAUGAUUUGAAAUACUUGCACACAAACCGCGCCAAAUCGUUCCUGGAAAUCUCAGCCCAAAAAAGGACGUUUAGUAAUUCUAAAAGGGACUACAGGAUGAAAAACAAUAGUUUUGGCAGUUAAAGUUUGAGAUUCGAUGGUGCCGUAGACCCGUUUGGUCAUCAGGUGUUACGAGCCACACCCAUGUCUAGCUAGAGUAGUGUGCUAGGUUCAGACUAGAGAAGAAACAGGGAACAAAGUGAUGAAAGAAUGAUCAUACCGAGGGAAUUCACUCAGAACUAACAAGAAUGAUAACGUGCUCCGACUGGAGCGGUUUAGGAACUGCUGGAAGGCUCUAGGGGAAUAAAGAUGGAAUGACUUCUAAUUUUUACGUCCGUAUGAUUUGAAAUACUUGCACACAAACCACGCAAAAGCGUUCCUGGAAAUCUCAGCCUAAAAAAGGACGUUUAGUAAUUCAAAAAGGGACUACAAAAUGAAAAACAAUAGUUUUGGCAGUUAAAGUUUGAGAUUCGAUGGUGCCGUAGAUCCGUUUGGUCAUCAGGUGUUACGAGCCACACCCAUGUCUAGCUAGGAUAGUGUGUUAGGCUCAGGC